GUCCAACUGUCACGCUGUCCUCCUCAUACCACUUUUUUAUAACAGAGUCACGCUGUCCUCCUCAUACCACUUUUAAAACAGAGUCCAACUGUCAAGCUGUCCUCCUCAUACCACUUUUUUAUAACAGAGUCCAACUGUCACACUGUCCUCCUCAUACCACUUUUAAAACAGAGUCCAACUGUCACGCUGUCCUCCUCAUACCACUUUUUUAAAACAGAGUCUAACUGUCCUCCUCAUACCACUUUUAAAACAGAGUCCAGCUGUCACACUGUCCUCCUCAUACCACUUUUAAAACAGAGUCUAACUGUCACACUGUCCUCCUCAUACCACUUUUAAAACAGAGUCUAACUGUCACACUGUCCUCCUCAUACCACUUUUAAAACAGAGUCUAACUGUCACGCUGUCCUCCUCAUACCACUUUUAAAACAGAGUCUAACUGUCACGCUGUCCUCCUCAUACCACUUUUUUAUAACAGAGUCCAGCUGUCACGCUGUCCUCCUCAUACCACUUUUAAAACAGAGUCUAACUGUCACACUGUCCUCCUCAUACCACUUUUAAAACAGAGUCUAACUGUCACGCUGUCCUCCUCAUUCCACUUUUAAAACAGAGUCCAACUGUCACGCUGUCCUCCUCAUACCACUUUUUUAUAACAGAGUCCAGCUGUCACGCUGUCCUCCUCAUACCACUUUUAAAACAGAGUCCACCUGUCAAGCUGUCCUCCUCAUACCACUUUUUUAUAACAGAGUCCAACUGUCACGCUGUCCUCCUCAUUCCACUUUUAAAACAGAGUCCAACUGUCACGCUGUCCUCCUCAUACCACUUUUUUAUAACAGAAGUCCAGCUGUCACGCUGUCCUCCUCAUACCACUUUUAAAACAGAGUCCAACUGUCAAGCUGUCCUCCUCAUACCACUUUUUUAUAACAGAGUCCAACUGUCACACUGUCCUCCUCAUACCACUUUUAAAACAGAGUCUAACUGUCACACUGUCCUUCUCAUACCACUUUUAAAACAGAAGUCUAACUGUCACGCUGUCCUCCCCAUACCACUUUUAUAACAGAUCCAACUCUCACGCUGUCCUCCUCAUUCCACUUUUAAAACAGAGUCCAACUGUCACGCUGUCCUCCUCAUACCACUUUUUUAUAACAGAGUCCAGCUGUCACGCUGUCCUCCUCAUACCACUUUUAAAACAGAGUCCAACUGUCAAGCUGUCCUCCUCAUACCACUUUUUUAUAACAGAGUCCAACUGUCACACUGUCCUCCUCAUACCACUUUUAAAACAGAGUCCAACUGUCACGCUGUCCUCCUCAUACCACUUUUUUAAAACAGAGUC
rnacentral:lncRNA from 1 species